UUUUUUUUUUUUUUUUGCCCAGCUAGUGUGUUCAGUCUACUAGAGGCGGCAUUAAAAAACCUGACUCAUUCUCCCAGACACUACCAAAUCCUCUGUCUUGGGAUUUUGUCUUGCUGUAGCUUGUGCACGUUGUCACAAUCACUGAAUUCAUAGUGCAUCUGCGCUGUUGUGACUUGAAAAGUGUUUCCUGAAGGUAUCCACCACCCUUAGCUCUUACAAUCCUUUGCCCUCUCUUUGGCAAAGAUUGAGCCUUGGGGUAAAGGGUGUGAUGUGAAUGUCCCAACUUUUUUUUUGCACGUUCAUUAGUUAGGGUCUCUCAAUUGACAUCUACUGCAAGGUUUCUGAUGCUCAUGUCUAUGGGCGCAGCAAUAAGACAUUAGGAAUAGUUUUAAUACUCAGUACUAUGUCCAUUAAACCAACUAAUAUGAAUCCUGUCCUAGAGCCUAUGUCCUCUUGAGCCAUAGGUUCUUUGGUCCUUUUAAUAGUAUCAGUUAUGGGUUCUUUCUCAUAGACAAGACCUUAAAGGUUUUAUGUUUUAAGACUUAAGUCUUAAACCGUCAGAAAAUGGUUGGUUGCUCCCAUAGCAUUCUGUCACUCUCGCUCUGUGGCCAUUUUCUUGUCAGGACAGUCAUGGUUGGAGUUUGUAAGCUUCCUAGCUGGGUGAGAUUGAGGCUUCCUUGUCUCCUUUAGCAGUGUGCAUAGAACCUUCCAGCACCAUGAACACUGGCCAGUAAUGAUGAAAAGAUUUCAGACGAAUACCAGCUUGAUGUCUCCCUGAUCUGUGAUUUAAGUGUGUGGUGCUUUAGCAGUAGGCUUUUAGCAUAAGUUCUGAAGUGUAGCCUGUAAUGCUUGGAGGAGCCCAUUGGCUAACAGCUCAAGAAAUGGUAACUUAUUCUUGGUGCCAGGCUUAUUUGUUAGAAUGGGGUAUCUGUUGGGAUAUCGUCCUCUCCUUGUAGGGUACUCAUUAUAUGUACAUCUGUUUUACGAAGCUUCUACAACAGUGGUUUCCAAAUGACUUUUUUUUAAAUGCCUUUUAUGGUAGUUAUUCCUCCCCAGAUUCCCUCCUCUCCUUGCCUCCCAUCUUCCAGCCCAAUUUAACCCAUCUUAUUCUGUUGGUCCCCUAUUGUAUUUUAUACUACUGUGCUCUGUUUCCCCACCCUUGAAGGCCACUCCUCCCCAGUGCCCUCUUAAUAAAUUCCUGACUUCUAGAGCAUUACAAAUAGGAUGCAUCUCUGAACAUUUAAAGGUGGCAUCAACAGUGAGAGAGCACGCACCAUGUUUAUUUUCCUGGAUUUGGUUACCUUAUUUGGGUUUCCAGCUCCACCAAUUUACUUGUGAAUUUCAUAAUUUUAUUUUUCGUAACAGCUGAGUAAUUUUCAUAGACAUAUAUUAGAUGUGAACUAUACAACAGUGGUCUGUAUAGACCCUGCUUUCUCUGUAACUAACCACAUAUACUUCUUCCUGUGUUGUAGCUGUAACUGAGCAGCGUUAGAUUUCAGAAUGUUGCUUUAUAAGGUGUUUACUAUGUCCUACACUGAGACGCUGCAAAGAUUUGAGUUUGUUCCCACUUCCCUUGAGUUAUUGUCAUUGUUUGCAGUUACACAUACGUGUUUGUCUUUUCCACUUGACGUGUCGUUCUGAGCUUACGGUUCUUAUUUCCUCGGCGGUGUUUAUCCUGCAGCUUAGCUUGUUCACAUCGCUUUAACUUCCGGAUUACAGCUUAUCCAGCGAGUUCCUUUUGUUCUUGGCUUACUUUGCCUCUCUGGUUCAUAGACUUUUGUGUAUAUAUUUAAUCUUAACAAUGCUGUUGUAGAACUGAAUUCUUUAAUAAGAGUUUCUUGGAUUUUGCCAGAUAGAGUUGUUAAAAUUUGAAAAGUACUUUUCUUAGUAUUCUAGGAUUUGCUCAAUACAUUUUUACAUUGAGAAUUCACAUUGUGCCAUUAUCAUCAAUAUUAUUAGUUUAAAAAACAAACAUCAGGGAGAAAAUCUUGUCUUUAGCAGAGUGGUUUGAAUAUGGAAUUGGGAUGCCAGUUUUCCUUGUAAUUCACUGAAGUUCUCUCUACUGCAAUUCCUGCUAUGUCUACAGAUUUUUUUCAUAACUUAUUUGAAAAGUCUUUUAAGAAAUGAUCAGAGGUCAUACAGUAGGUGACAAACAAGAAGCCUUUAAAUGUUAGGUGAUUUUGUGGACUUUGUGCCCUCGUGUUAUUUGGCGAGGAGAAUCUCCUUGUAGCUACCUAGUUCUGUACUGUGCACAUUGUGUAUAUGGUAGCUCAGAAAAGGAAGACAGUAGAAAGAAAGAUUAAAUCAUGGGCUAUCAAAGUGUGAGAGCUGUGCUGUACUGUUUCCUCAGGCUCAAGAGCAGUGGGAUGGACUAAGCAUCCUAGAGAACAGAGCCUCGGCAGUGUGGAAAAUGGUUUAGAUACACCGACUGCAUUAGUUGUAGCUUCAGGUUGCUUAUAACUGCAAUCUUUCACAGACAUUCAAGUGCACAUGCCUACAAACAGACACAUAAUGAGAAACAAAACAAAACCUAAAAUCAAACAACCAAACAAACCUGUUCCUACUCUAAGAGGCUGCUACGUAAGUCAGUCACCGCAGUUUACGGUGGGUGCUCAUUGUGGGAAGUAGGUUGGGAGGUGGUUUUGUUGAGAGUAGGUACAGAAAACUAGACCACACAAGGCUUUAUGGCAUAUGAGGUCAUGUGUGCAUAAGUUCCUGACCAGAGCAUCGUGUGGCAUGUCACUCUAAUGCACACUUACAUAGUUUCCUAGGGUGCUACAGAAGAAAGGGGUGGGAUUAGGACCUAACAUGAUUCAUCUCUCACUGACUGAUUUUCAGAGCAUAUGAAAGAGAGCAGACAUUUAGAGCUGAAAGUCAUUUUAGAGAGCUGUGAUUCCCUUCAUUUUAUACAAAACAUAAACAGUUACUGUGCUUCUUCCCUCCAUUAUAGUGAUGCUUUUGACAUACAAUUUGGAGUUGUGGUUAUCCGCCUGAAGGAAGGACUGGAUAUAUCACACCUCCAAGGUCAGGGUAAGUACUCCUUACAUUAAGAUUUAUUUUUCAUUUUUAUUGGUUAUUUUAUUUACUUACAUUUCAAAUGUUAUUCCCCUUCCCAGUUUCCCCUCCACAAAGUACCUCUCUUCUCCCCCUUCCCUCCCUCUAUGAGUGUCUCCCCUACCUGCCCAGGCACUCCUGCCUCAGCGCCCUAGAUGCCCCUACACUGGAGCAUCUAUCGAGCCCUCAUAGGACCAAGGGCCUCUCUUCCCAUAGAUGCCUGACAAGGCCAUCUAUCCUCUGCUACAUGUGCAGCUAGAGCCAUGGCUCCUCCCAUGUGUACUCUUGGUUGGUGGUUUAGUCCCUGGGAGCUUUGGAGGCAUCUGGUUGGUUCUUCUUGUUCUUCCUAUGGAGUUGCAAACCCCUUCAGCUCCUUCAGUCCUUGCUCUAACUUCUCCAUUGGGGUCUCCACGCUCAGUCCUAUGUUUGGCUGCAGACAUCUGCAUCUGUUUUGAUCAAGCUCUUGCAGAGCCAAAGUACGAGUUACUUGGUUAGAAAGUUGUGCCUAAUUGUAAGUUCUUCAUUCACUUACAUAGAUGCCAUUUUCUUCAUGACACAGCUCACCAUCUUAAGAUUAGGUGUGCUUUCGCCAACCAUGUCUGUGUCUUCUCUCUGUACAGCUCAUAUGAUAGCUUUAUUUUCCAUUAAUUAUUACUAAUGGAGAGUAUAAAAUUUAGUAUAAAUCGUGGCCUUAAGAGAAACAGACAUUAGUUAUGAUUGUAAAUUGGCCAAACUUGUUUUUAAAAAAUAGAAUGAGAAAAAUAUUUAAAUCAUUAUUAAAAUAUUUAAAUUACUACUUAGGCUGUAAAAGUAUUAAAAACACAAUGUAUAAUCUUUAAAGUAUUUUAAAAUAAAGGUUAAAUUUAAGAUAUAAUUUACUUGCCAACUUUAUGAAAGUGGAAAUUUCUAUAUCCUUCAAAGAAUUUUACGUAUUUAAAAAAAUUGAAUACCUAUCAUUUUCUCUUAUGAGUUAAUUAGUGAAAUCAUCAGAUUAGCUGCGUUUUGAUAGAUAAGAAACAUAGUAAUUUGUUCAUGCAUUUCAACCUUAUACUCUUCUUUAAGAGUAGUCUACAACUUUGAAGAAACGCUUUGAGGUCUAUGAAACAAGCAAGCUUGGCUUGCUGUAAAUGUGUUUUCUUUUUCUGGAAUGAAUCUGGCAAAACCUCAUUUGAAGUCUUAUAGCAGUGACUAAGUUUAGAGAACGUGACUCAUUAACACUGCGUAAUUAGAAAAAUGCUGUUCCCUUUCCCUCAAAAAGUAACGUAUUAUUCAGUUCUAUUAUUUACUGGGAAUUAAAUAUGACUGAAAUAUUUUAAAACUAUCAUCUAACAGGUAUGGCGGCAUUCGCCUUCAAUCCCAGGACUUGGGAGGCUGGCGGAUCUCUGUCCAGGACAGCCAGGGCUAUCACACAGAAAAACCCUGUC
rnacentral:lncRNA from 1 species